UACGUAGGGGGCAAGCGUUGUCCGGAAUUAUUGGGCGUAAAGAGCGCGUAGGCGGUCCGAUAAGUCGGCUGUGAAAGUCAGGGGCUCAACCCUUGAAAGCCGGCCGAUACUGUCGGACUAGAGUCCGGAAGAGGCAAGUGGAAUUCCUGGUGUAGCGGUGGAAUGCGCAGAUAUCAGGAGGAACACCGAUGGCGAAGGCAGAUCUCUGGGCCGUAACUGACGCUGAGGAGCGAAAGCGUGGGGAGCGAACAGG
rnacentral:rRNA from 1 species